CCUACGGGAGGCAGCAGUAGGGAAUCUUCCACAAUGGGCGCAAGCCUGAUGGAGCAACACCGCGUGAGUGAAGAAGGGUUUCGGCUCGUAAAGCUCUGUUGUUGGAGAAGAACGUGCGUGAGAGUAACGGCUCACGCAGUGACGGUAUCCAACCAGAAAGUCACGGCUAACUACGUGCCAGCAGCCGCGGUAAUACGUAGGUGGCAAGCGUUAACCGGAAUUAUUGGGCGUAAAGCGAGCGCAGGCGGUUGCUUAGGUCUGAUGUGAAAGCCUUGGGCUUAACCGAAGAAGUGCAUCGGAAACCGGGGAACUUGAGUGCAGAAGAGGGCGGUGGAACUCCAUGUGUAGCGGUGGAAUGCGUAGAGAUAUGGAAGAACACCGGUGGCGAAGGCGGCUGUCUGGUCUGCAACUGACGCUGAUGCUCGAAAGCAUGGGUAGCGAACAGGAUUAGAUACCCGGGUAGUC
rnacentral:rRNA from 1 species